UCUACAUUUCAGGUCAAGGUCGGUAAGGCGGUUUCUGCGUCGCGGCUUGGACUAAAAAUAGAACAUAAACAAAAGAACAUGAGCUCAGAGGCUCCUGCAAUUCCAGAUUGCCAGAUGUGCACAUCCAGUUUAAAUUUACUAGACCUUCGUAUGGAAAUAAGGUCCAAAGCUGAAAGAAAAUCAUGGACAGGCAGGUGUAGACCAAAUCCAAGGUCAUGCUGCUCAAAUCUACUUUGGGAUGGGUAUUAGAAGAAAAAGCAUUCUGAAGAUGAGCUUUCAUAUUGUGACAUACAGCUGCAUCUCUUGACUAGCGAUCAGGAAAAUAGCAAACUAUGUACUUAAUCUGUAUAUAUGCACACACGGUCACUCGACUCUGGUCUACAUGUUCACGUAUUUAACAAACUCACUGAACAAAUGAACAUUUUACAUUUUUUCAACCUUUUAUGUACGAUAGCUGCUUGCACCGAAUUAAAUCUGCAUGCUCAAUUCCUUUCUUUCAUACCAAGCAUUUUGGAACUUUUACUUUGUAAAAUGCCUUUGAAAUCCGUAAGUAAAUUACCCUCAACACAAAUAAGCAUCAUUAACCUUCAUUAUAUAUUUUACCCAAAUGUAUUAUGUUGUAACAUAUAUUUUACGGAAUUUUAUUUUUAACAAAAUUUUAGUGCUAAUUUAUUACAUCUGUUUAUAGUAUUGCAUGUGGUGGUUUUGCUGCUGUCUAUGUGUCAAACGUGUUUUAUGAAAUUGGAGUCAGUCUAAAAUUCUUGAUUAACAUGAGGUUGAUAAUAAGACAAAUGCCUUUUAUAGUCAUAAAUUGGAUAAAAUAACCAGACCUUUUUGAAAUAUGUUUAAACCAAUUAAUGUAUUGCACGUCACUUUGUGUCUGCAAUGAAGUUUAAGGUAAAUUUGAUUUUUCAGAAUGUACAUUUAUCAAUAAACUGUUCGAAUAAAGCACAUUUCACAUUA